GUCUAAAUAGUUUAAUAAAAUUUUGAUUUGUGGUGUCAAGGAUGUACUUUAGUACUUUGGAUC
rnacentral:tRNA from 1 species